UACGUAGGGUGCAAGCGUUGUUCGGAAUCAUUGGGCGUAAAGCGCGUGUAGGCUGUUAGUUAAGUCAGAUGUGAAAGCCCUCGGCUCAACCGGGGAAGUGCAUUUGAAACUAGCUGGCUCGAAGACGGUAGAGGAAGGUGGAAUUCCUAGUGUAGAGGUGAAAUUCGUAGAUAUUAGGAGGAAUACCUGUGGCGAAGGCGGCCUUCUGGACCGAUCUUGACGCUGAGACGCGAAAAGCGUGGGUAGCAAACAGG
rnacentral:rRNA from 1 species